rnacentral:rRNA from 1 species
GAUGAACGCUGGCGGCGUGCCUAAUACAUGCAAGUCGAGCGAACAGACGAGGAGCUUGCUCCUCUGACGUUAGCGGCGGACGGGUGAGUAACACGUGGAUAACCUACCUAUAAGACUGGGAUAACUUCGGGAAACCGGAGCUAAUACCGGAGAAUAUAUUGAACCGCAUGGUUCAAUAGUGAAAGACGGUUUUGCUGGCACGUAUAGAUGGAUCUCCGCCGCAUUAGCUAGUUGGUAAGGUAACGGCUUACCAAGGCAACGAUGCGUAGCCGACCUGAGAGGGUGAUCGGCCACACUGGAACUGAGACACGGUCCAGACUCCUACGGGAGGCAGCAGUAGGGAAUCUUCCGCAAAGGGCGAAAGCCUGACGGAGCAACGCCGAGUGAGUGAUGAAGGUCUUCGGAUCGUGAAACUCUGUUAUUAGGGAAGAACAAAUGUGUAAGUAACUAUGCACGUCUUGACGGUACCUAGUCAGAAAGCCACGGCUAACUACGUG